rnacentral:rRNA from 1 species
GGAAUAUUGCGCAAUGGAGGAAACUCUGACGCAGUGACGCCGCGUGCAGGAAGAAGGUUUUCGGAUUGUAAACUGCUUUAGACAGGGAAGAACAAGGACAGUACCUGUAGAAUAAGCUCCGGCUAACUACGUGCCAGCAGCCGCGGUAAUACGUAGGGAGCAAGCGUUAUCCGGAUUUAUUGGGUGUAAAGGGUGCGUAGACGGGAAGGCAAGUUGGUUGUGAAAUCCCUCGGCUUAACUGAGGAACUGCAACCAAAACUAUCUUUCUUGAGUGCUGGAGAGGAAAGUGGAAUUCCUAGUGUAGCGGUGAAAUGCGUAGAUAUUAGGAGGAACACCAGUGGCGAAGGCGACUUUCUGGACAGUAACUGACGUUGAGGCACGAAAGUGUGGGGAGCAAACA